rnacentral:rRNA from 1 species
AGCGAACGCUGGCGGCAGGCUUAACACAUGCAAGUCGAACGGACACUUCGGUGUCAGUGGCGGACGGGUGAGUAACACGUGGGAACGUGCCCUUAGGUUCGGAACAACACAGGGAAACUUGUGCUAAUACCGGAUGUGCCCUUUUUGGGGAAAGAUUUAUCGCCUUUGGAGCGGCCCGCGUCUGAUUAGCUAGUUGGUGGGGUAAAGGCUCACC